GCCCUGAAGUGGUUGGAUGCCUGUGAGAAGGAUAAAUAUUGGACUCACAAUAACACAAAAGAUCUUUCAGUGAAAUAACUUUUUGGAAAGAAGCUGUCAGAUGAAAUCCUCAAACACAAGGAAUUAAAUCAGCUAUCUAAAAUCCAGACUUGGAGGGAGACUCUGGGAGUGUUACACAUCUGCUACAGUCAAGUCCUUGGUAGUGCCGGUACUCUCUGCUGGAACAUACAAGUGGCAUGACAUAAACAAAACCACCCAACAAAAAAAGCAGACACAGUGAAAGAAAACAAAAAGAAGACAGAUAAAAUGAAUGUGGAACAAAUACAGUUUAGAGAGCUUUCUGGACUGACCAUCAGCUGAAAUGUUGAAUAAAGAAACAACAUCCCAUUUCAUGUCGAUUAUUU